UUUCUACUCCCUCCGUCCGUAAUUAUUUAUUGCCGAAAAAGAUGUAUCUAGACAUAUUUUAGUUAUAUAUACAUUAAUUUUUAUUCAUUGUCACGACAAGUAAUUUAGGACGGAGGGAGUACAUG
rfam:Hordeum vulgare subsp. vulgare, WGS project CAJW01000000 data, contig: morex_contig_270599